rnacentral:rRNA from 1 species
GACGAACGCUGGCGGCGUGCUUAACACAUGCAAGUCGAACGGAAAGGCCCUGCUUUUGUGGGGUGCUUGAGUGGCGAACGGGUGAGUAACACGUGAGUAACCUGCCCUUGUCUUUGGGAUAACUUCAGGAAACUGGGGCUAAUACCGGAUAGGAGCUUCUGCUGCAUGGUGGGGGUUGGAAAGUUUCGGCGGUUGGGGAUGGACUCGCGGCUUAUCAGCUUGUUGGUGGGGUAGUGGCUUACCAAGGCUUUGAAGGGUAGCCGGCCUGAGAGGGUGACCGGCCACAUUGGGACUGAGAUACGGCCCAGACUCCUACGGGAGGCAGCAGUGGGGAAUAUUGCGCAAUGGGCGGAAGCCUGAUGCAGCGACGCCGCGUGCGGGAUGACGGCCUUCGGGUUGUAAACCGCUUUCGCCUGUGACGAAGCGUGAUUGACGGUAAUGGGUAAAGAAGCACCGGCUAACUACGUG